UCAGGACGGGGUCAAUCUGGGCGUCGAUCUAGUGGUCGAUCGACAUCAAGUCGUGGUGGCCGAUCCACAUCUGGUCGGGGCCAAUGCACACCAAAUAUUCAUCAAACAUCUGCUAACCCUGCAGUAGUAUCUAAUACAUAUACAGAUUUGGGAAUGCCUCCUUGUAUACAUCCAAAUAUUCAGGUAACAACGACAAUGACUCCAUUGACACCAAUUCCUCAACCUUCAAUAGUUGCACCAAUUGUACAAAGCCCUCCAUGACCAUAUAUUGAGACUUCUACUCAUGCUACUGAGGACACACCCAUAGAAAUGGAGGGGCCAUCUAAUGAGUCUGUGAGCACUGACCCCCCUGGGUUAUCACCCCAGAUAGUGUAAUUAUAGAUUGUGAAGUUAAGAGAACAAUCCAUGAAUUGGUCAAAGGUCACUAUAAAGAGGCGUGGACCGGAUGGGGGAAAGUGCCCAAAGAUGUGAGGCAAAGGAUAUUCACCACUUUUAGGGUAUAUACUCAUGGGAGGCGCAACAUGAAUCUUCAAUUUUGCGGCAUUUAAAUCAUGAGGCGAGUGAAUGGUUGAAGAAACAUUUGUAUUUUGCACAUAAUCUUUACAAGGCUCCAUUUCCAUGGAUGGCUCCAGCAGUGUGGGAAGGUUUACAAAGGUAUUGGGAGUCAGAUGAGUUUAAGAGAAAAAGUGAAAAGAACAAACUGAAUAGGGCAGAAAUUGGAAGCUCCUCCACCAUUAUUUAUCAUGGUGGAUCUGUCAGUACUGCUGUGCACCGCCUUAGAUUGGAGGAGGAAAUAGGAAGAGAGCCGACAUCGAAAGAAUGCUUUAUCCGCACACACAAAAAAAAGGAUGGCACACUCGAGGUUGGUCGUGCUACACAAAUUGUUGUAAGUAUGAGAUAACUUUCUUAGAAUAAAUGCAUUUGAAAUUAAAGUUAGGGGCGUAGAUUUUGUGUGAAUUGUAGGGAUUGUUUUUAAACUUUGAUGAGAAUAUAAUUUAAACAAACAACAAAAAGGAUUAUUAUGGGAACAUAAUGUGAAAACAAAGGUGUGAAAUGAUUUCAUGGGAAAUAUUUAUUUGUGGUUGCCAUGAAAAUGGUAAAUAUUUAUCUGUGGUUGCCAUGAAAAAAAUUAGUUAAAUAGUGCCAUUUCCCUUAAAGUUAAGGCAUAU